rnacentral:rRNA from 1 species
UCUUGGUCAUUUAGAGGAAGUAAAAGUCGUAACAAGGUUUCCGUAGGUGAACCUGCGGAAGGAUCAUUAUCGAAAUUAUUGGUGAGGGUUGUAGCUGGCCUUUCGAGGCAUGUGCACGCUCGAGCCCUUAAUCCACUUUACACCUGUGCACUUAAUGUAGGUCGCCCUUAAAAAAGGUGACCUAUGUCUUAUCAUCAACCCAUCGUAUGUCUCAUAGAAUGUAAUCGAUAUCCUCGCCCUAAAAAAGCGUUGAUAAACUUAUACAACUUUCAACAACGGAUCUCUUGGCUCUCGCAUCGAUGAAGAACGCAGCGAAAUGCGAUAAGUAAUGUGAAUUGCAGAUUUUCAGUGAAUCAUCGAAUCUUUGAACGCACCUUGCGCUCCUUGGUAUUCCGAGGAGCAUGCCUGUUUGAGUGUCAUUAAAUUCUCAACUCCAAGGGUUUCACGACCUUUCGGAGAUUGGACUUGGAGGUGCUGGCCGCAUAUUGGUCGGCUCCUCUCAAAUGCAUCAGCGGAAUUCAACCUUUGGCUUCCGGAUGUCAGUGUGAUAAUCAUGUUGCGCUGUCGUUUGAUCCCUCGGAGUCCGCUUAUAAUGGUCUUCGGGCAAAAUCAUCAUCAAAUUUGACCUCAAAUCAGGUAGGACUACCCGCUGAACUUAAGCAUAUCAAUAAGCGGAGGAAA